rnacentral:rRNA from 1 species
UAGGGAAUCUUCGGCAAUGGGGGGAACCCUGACCGAGCAACGCCGCGUGAGUGAAGAAGGUUUUCGGAUCGUAAAGCUCUGUUGUUAAGGAAGAACGAGUGUGAGAAUGGAAAGUUCAUACUGUGACGGUACUUAACCAGAAAGGGACGGCUAACUACGUGCCAGCAGCCGCGGUAAUACGUAGGUGGCAAGCGUUGUCCGGAUUUAUUGGGCGUAAAGCGAGCGCAGGCGGUCAAUUAAGUCUGAUGUGAAAGCCCCCGGCUCAACCGGGGAGGGUCAUUGGAAACUGGUUGACUUGAGUGCAGAAGAGGAGGGUGGAAUUCCAUGUGUAGCGGUGAAAUGCGUAGAUAUAUGGAGGAACACCAGUGGCGAAGGCGACUCUCUGGUCUGUAACUGACGCUGAGGCUCGAAAGCGUGGGUAGCAAACAGG